rnacentral:rRNA from 1 species
UGGGGAAUAUUGGGCAAUGGGGCGCAAGCCUGACCCAGCAACGCCGCGUGAAGGAAGAAGGCUUUCGGGUUGUAAACUUCUUUUAAGGGGAAGAGGAGAAGACGGUACCCCUAGAAUAAGCCACGGCUAACUACGUGCCAGCAGCCGCGGUAAUACGUAGGUGGCAAGCGUUGUCCGGAUUUACUGGGUGUAAAGGGCGUGUAGCCGGGUCUGCAAGUCAGAUGUGAAAUCCAUGGGCUUAACCCAUGAACUGCAUUUGAAACUGUGGAUCUUGAGUGCUGGAGGGGCAAUCGGAAUUCCUAGUGUAGCGGUGAAAUGCGUAGAUAUUAGGAGGAACACCAGUGGCGAAGGCGGAUUGCUGGACAGUAACUGACGGUGAGGCGCGAAAGUGUGGGGAGCAAACAGGAUUAGAUACCCUGGUAGU